GGGGGAUUAGCUCAAAUGGCAGAGCGCCCGCUUAGCACUUUCGAUAGCUUGCGGGAGGCAGGGAGAUCGAUACUCCCAUUCUCCA